UUUAUCUUAUGUCGGUGUGCU
rnacentral:piRNA from 1 species